UACAGAGGUCUCAAGCGUUGUUCGGAUUCAUUGGGCGUAAAGGGUGCGUAGGCGGCGCGGUAAGUCGGAUGUGAAAUCUCGGGGCUUAACUCCGAAACUGCAUUCGAUACUGCCGUGCUUGAGGACUGGAGAGGAGACUGGAAUUUACGGUGUAGCGGUGGAAUGCGUAGAUAUCGUAAGGAAGACCAGUGGCGAAGGCGGGUCUCUGGACAGUUCCUGACGCUGAGGCACGAAGGCCAGGGGAGCAAACGGG
rnacentral:rRNA from 1 species